UUGGGCUUCCUGAGGUGAGGCUGUUUUGCACAGUGUGUGUACUGUACAAAGAUCCAGGGAGGGAGGAAUCAGAAAGUCAGAGUCAUUAAAAUAGAAAAAAGAAAAAAAAAAAAAGCCCCAGGCACUUCAUGCCUGGAAAUGAUGUAAGUCCUAGCCACUCCUCUGUUAGAACUACAACCAAACAAUGCUCAGGCAAUUCGAGCAGCUGCUUCCCAAAUGUCAGCGCCGGCCCAGGCAAAGAGCUUGCAGCCCAGCACGCUGAGGAUCUGUGCUGCGCCCUUCUCGCCCACAUUUUCCACAGGCACACUCAGGAACCUGGCAACAGUCUGAGAAAACAAAGCAUUGCUGCGGCAGUCCUACUCUUGAGUGUCCCCUUGUGGCCAAGUUUGGAACACCACUUACGUACUUAGAAACCGGCUGCACAGCUACAAGGACUGAAAUGUAAUCCUCAGGUUAUGAAAUAGGUUCCCAGUGGCCAAUGACACAGCUCUGACUAUAGCUUGAGGAGCUCCAAACAGAACACAACAGAACAAAGAGCAGCUACAGGAAUGCGGAAAAACUUGAAGAAACUAGGGCUAGUUUUUGGAUUGACAUGAACUAUCAAUAAAAGGUUGGAAAACAGAACACAAAGAAGGGAAGCACUUGAUAGCCACUACUCUGAAGCCCUGCCCACUUGCAACUGCUGAUAACCUUGUCAGGUCACUUGAUAAAGCCAAGUCUUGUCACCCUCGGGCACCUGGCGGAGAGGUAAUAAAACGGUUGCUUUAUCUCCCAAGGCUGGAGUUAGUCAAACCUCAGCCUGUGGUAACUGUAGUAAACUGAAAUUGCCUGUCGUUUACGAAAAAGGGGGCGGGAGAAAGGAAAAGGGGCUUAAGGCAGGAAAUUGUGUUUGUCUCUCUCCGUGGAUUUAAAAAAAGAAAGUGAGCAAAACAGCAAGAAGUUUUCCUGGGAGUGAGAAAAACAGCCUGCUCAACUCCCCUCGCCCGGGGUUAACAGGAUUGCUGACAGAUCAGGCCCACGUGAGGGUCAAGAAAAGAGGCUCAAGCUGAUGAAAACCCACGAAAUCUUCUUAGGAGCCUUCCUUUGUAAAUGUAAAUGACUGAGUCAUUGCUUUGCCUUGGAGGAGAGGAAGUUGCAAUCACACCAAGUGACUCAUUCAUUGCUGUGAGCUCCGGCCGUUGGAUAAAAAGUUUUAGCAAAAGCAGCAACAGAUCUGCUUUAAAUACUCGCACAGUAAGGGAAUUCCUCGCUUUCAGGAUGAAUGCCAUCCACACAAAAGAGCUCCUGUUGACAUCUCAUUUACAAUCUCCCCCAGGACACAGACAAGACCGUUUCAAUAAACCCGGCUCAGAAACACCUAUUGUUCAAAAUCUUCAACUAGCAACAGGCUGCCACCACUCCCUAUGGCUCUGCAAAAUAAAAGAUUUAGAAGGAGGAGGAUCGGAGCUGUGGACGCUGUGAAAAGAGGCAGGAGAAAAGUCCCUUUGACCCAAUGCUCUUAGAGAGGGUGCAUAAAGAAUAAAGUUAAUGGUAUUUCCAUUUCUAUAAGAUGUGUGUUAAGAAACGUCUGUGACGUUCCUAAACUGGGAAUUGUGAUUUCUUCAUUUGAUGUGAGCUGUAUGUGUAAAGAAACUAACUCCUGCCCGUGUGGUUGUGGCAUGAAAAGCCAAAGUUAACCUUAAGCUAUCUCCAGCUUGAUAAAAAGCCCUAAGAGCAGCCACAGGAAAGCUCAGGUGAGUCGGCCCCGGAUGUGUGUUUCCUGGAUUCAGGGCUUGCCUGGCCUUUCCUAGCACGACAGAAUCUUCAGGAUCACACGGGCGCCCUCUCCUUGGACUGCUUCCCUCCUUCCCAUCUCCACCAUUUUGCUCCCGUUUGUAGUAAAACUUGGACCUUUUCUGGAGUUACAGAAUGAUUUUCUUCAGAGGUGCCUCACAUUAAGGGAUGCAUCAUUCGUGCUUGCAAAAAUUUAAUCGGGCAUUUCUCAAAUGGUCACCAUCUUUACCCUCCUAACAGAUCUGCCAGUUAAUGUCUUCCAUCUCAGCACAGGGCUCCCUUACCUACCCCAUGUUCAAGACAGACUGGUGGGUUGUUGUCUUGAACUACUUCGGAUUCUCCUACCUCUUCAAUUCCUCUGGAGUCAUUCAG